rnacentral:rRNA from 1 species
CCUACGGGAGGCAGCAGUGAGGAGUUUUCUGCAAUGGGCGAAAGCCUGACAGAGCAAUACCGCGUGAAGGAUGAAGGCCUACGGGUUGUAAACUUCUUUUCUCAAGGAGGAAGAUCUGACGUUACUUGAGGAAUAAGCAUCGGCUAACCCUGUGCCAGCAGCCGCGGUAGUACAGGGGAUGCAAGUGUUAUCCGGAAUUAUUGGGCGUAAAGCGUCUGCAGGUUGAUAUCUAAGUCUUUUGUUAAAUCUCCAGGCUUAACCUGGAAUCUGCAAAGGAAACUAUUUAUCUUGAGUAUGGUAGGGGUAAAGGGAAUUUCCAGUGGAGCGGUGAAAUGCGUAGAUAUUGGAAAGAACACCAACAGCGAAGGCACUUUACUGGGCCAGUACUGACACUCAGAGACGAAAGCUAGGGGAGCAAACGGGAUUAGAUACCCCGGUAGUCCUAGCUGUAAACGAUGGAUACUAGAUGUUGUGGAUUUCGGUCUGCAGUGUCGUAGCUAACGCGUUAAGUAUCCCGCCUGGGAAGUAUGCUCGCAAGAGUGAAACUUAAAGGAAUUGACGG